CAGUCGCCGCGGGAAUACGAAGGGGGCUAGCGUUGCUCGGAAUUACUGGGCGUAAAGGGCGCGUAGGCGGACAUUUAAGUCGGGGGUGAAAGCCCGGGGCUCAACCUCGGAAUUGCCUUCGAAACUGGCUGUCUUGAGUACGGGAGAGGUGAGUGGAACUCCGAGUGUAGAGGUGAAAUUCGUAGAUAUUCGGAAGAACACCAGUGGCGAAGGCGACUCUCUGGUCUGUAACUGACGCUGAGGAGCGAAAGCGUGGGGAGCGAACAGGAUUAGAUACCCCAGUAGUCCCUGUCUCUUAUAC
rnacentral:rRNA from 1 species